UAGGAAAAUUAAACAAGAGCAUAUGGUGGAUGCCUAGGCUCUACACAACGAUGAAGGACGUAGCGUAGCUGCGAUAAGCUUCGGGGAGGUGCCAAGCAACCUUUGAUCCGGAGAUCUCCGAAUGGGGAAACCCCAUUGAGCAAACCUCAAUGAUCACAGACUAGACUUCUGUGAAGUAUACCCAGGGAAGUAAAACAUUUCAGUACCUGGAGGAAAAUAAACUAAUAAGUAUUCCGUAAGUAGCGGCGAGCGAAAGCGGAGAAGCCCAAACCGUUCGCAUCACAUUGCAUGUGAUGCUCAAGGUGUUAGGUGAUAGCGAAUAGGGAAUAGUGAAGAAAUUAAAUUUUCUUUUACUAUAACCUAUAACCUUUUCCCUAUAACCUAAGAGACAUCGCGCGUAGCGUGAUGCGAGCGGGGUUGUAAGACAUGAACUGAUUUUAAUAGUCAGAUAGUUACAAAACGCAUUAUUAACAGAAUAAGCUGGAAAGCUUAGCCAUAGACGGUGAUAGCCCGGUAAGUGAAAAUAAUUGUGUCUAUUGUGUUCAUGUUCUUGAGUACUUCGAGACACGACUAGCUCGAAGGAAUCUGCCGGAACUAACCGGUAAGGCUAAAUAUGUGUAGAGACCGAUAGUGAACUAGUACCGUGAGGGAAAGGUGAAAAGUAGCCCGGUGAGGGCAGUGAAAUAGACCUGAAACCAUAUGUUUACAAGGAGUCGAAGAGGGUAUUUAUAUCCUCGACGGCGUGCCUAUUGAAGAAUGAGCCAACGAGUUUUAGCAUGCUGCAAGGCAAAGAUUUUAAAGAAUAUGAGCCGAAGCGAAAGCGAGCGUGAAUAGCGCAACAUAAGUAGUAUGCUAAAGACCCGAAGCCGGAUGAGCUACCCAUGAGCAGGAUGAACCCCACCGAGAGGUGGGGGGAGGUCCGAACCAGUAUGUCGUACAACGCAUUUGGAUGACUUGUGGGUUGGAGUGAAAAGCUAAUCGAAUUCGGUAAUAGCUGGUUCUCUCCGAAAUCGCUUUAGGGCGAGCGCUAUGUGUUUCGUGUGGGGGUAGAGCACUGGAAGGUUUCGACAGGGAGCAAUCUCGCGAAAUCUAUCAAACUCCGAAUACCAUACGCCAGAAUAUAGCAGUUAGACUACGGGGGCUAAGCUCCGUCAGUCAAAAGGGAAACAGCCCAGAUCUCAAGUUAAGGUCCCUAAAUUAAUACUAAGUGCACUUAAGGAGGUGAAAUUUCUCUAACAAUGAGGAUGUUGGCUUAGAAGCAGCCAUCAUUUAAAGAAAGCGUAACAGCUCACUCAUCUAGAGAUCUCGCGCCGAAAAUAAUCGGGGCUAAGUAUUGUACCGAAACUGAGGAUUCGCGAACUUCAUGAAGAAUGUAAUUUUAUUCGUAAGAUUAUUUUUAUAUUCUUCAUGAAGUUCGUGAGUGGUAGGAGAGUAUUCCGUACUUCGCAUUGAAGCCAAAGGGGUGACCCAUGGUGGAGCGUACGGAAGUAAGAAUGUUGGCACAAGUAACCGCAAGUAAGGUGAGAAUCCUUACCGUCGAAAAACCAAGGUUUCCUUUGCGAUGAUAAUCAGCGAAGGGUUAGUCGGUCCUAAGUCGAUGGCAAAUGCCGCAGAUGAUGGACACACGGUUAAUAUUCCGUGACCUCGCAGUAGUGCGAUGGAGGGACGAAGGGUAGUAUGUAGAGCAGAUAAUUGGAUUUCUGUGUGUCAGUGAGGGUAGCGUCCAGGUAAAUCCAGACGCGAACACUUUAAUGUGUAUGUCCAAGCGAAAUGCAGAAGUGUGGGUUCGCCCAUGCUAAUUCUACAAAGCACGCUUCCGAGAAAAACUUCUAAGCUUCAACUACAACGAGACCGUACCAAAACCGACACAGGUGGUUUGGUCGAGAAGACCUAGACGAACGAGUGAGGUAUCUCCAAGGAACUCGGCAAAAUAGCAGCCGUAAGUUUGCAAUAAGGCUUGCCGCUUGUUAACUCAAGCGGCCGCAGCGAAAGAAUCCCUGCCAACUGUUUACCAAAAACACAGCUCCCUGCGAACUCGAAAGAGGAAGUAUAGGGGGUGACACCUGACCAAUGCCAGAAGGUCAAAUAUUGCAGGUUCGUACCAUACCUGAGUGCAAUUCAUUUUGUUCUCAGAUUGGUACGAGCUAGUGAUAUAAGCCCUGGUGAAUGUCGGCCGUAACUAUAACGGUCCUAAGGUUCGCAACAUUUAACUAUAAGUGUUGCGAUGGACUGGGACUGUUAUAGAAAAAAGUAAAUAGUUAAUUAAACAAAUUUCAUCACCCAUUAAUAAGCUACCUACACCACAGUAAUGUGAAUGUAGUCCAAACUUGAUAAACGAGAGACCAACGUCAAGCAUCCGAAUUAUUUCGAAUUGCCCCCAGGGCGAUUCUGGUGAAUCGGAUGAAGAUAGAGUCCUUCUGAGAGGUAUAGAAGAGCGAAAUACCUUGUCGGGUAAGUUCCGACGCGCACGAAUGGUGUAAUGAGUGGGGAACUGUCUCGGAGAUUUGCUCGGUGAAAAUACAGUACCGGUGAAGAUGCCGGUUAAGUGCAGUUAGACGAAAAGACCCCGGAAGCUUCACUACAAUUUGAUAUUGAGUAUAUUUUUCUAUUGCGUAGAAUAAAUGGGAGACUUUGAAGCAAGAACCCUGGUUCUUGUGGAGUCGUCAGUGCAAUACCAUUCUCUAGCAAGGUAUAUUCUAAUCCCUGCGGCAAAAACGCAGAGAAACAGUAUCUGAUGGGUAGUUUUACUGGGGUGGUAUCCUCCUAAAGAGUAACGGAGGAGUUUAUUAAGGUCAUCUAGGCGCGAAUGGAAACCGUGCCGAUAGUGUAAGGGCAUAAGAUGGCUUGACUGUAAGACGGACAUGUCGAGCAGGUGCGAAAGCAGAACCUAGUGAACCGACGGCCCGCAUUAGAUGCGGCCAACGAUUAACGGAUAAAAGCUACUCCGGGGAUAACAGGCUAGUUCCGCCUAAGCGUCCAUAGCGACGGCGGAGUUCGGCACCUCGAUGUCGGCUCACCUUAGCGCGGGGGUGGAGAAGCUCCCAAGCGUAUGGCUGUUCGCCAUUUAAAAAGGUACGCGAGCUGGGUUCAGACCGUCCUGAAGUCAAUAUUUAUAUUGACUGAAGGACCGUCUGAGUCCCGAGGAAAUUUUUUCAAAUAUUUUUUCAUUAAAAAAAUAUUUACAGAACAAAAUCUGUUUUAGUCUUUUCGUCGACUAAAUAAAGUUUCGAUAUCUUAAUUAAAAACAAGAAUCGAAAUCCCGACUGGUGAGUCGGGAAUAGAAACCAACCAAUUGCGGCGGUCGUGCAUAGUGAUAUGCAAUGACAUGCUCAACUAAUAUCGGUGAAAUCCUUUCAUUCAGUAAGUGAAAAGGACAACACCGAGGGAAGGUGGUAGAUUUUUUUGAGGAGGUGAUGACAAUGAGCGGGCUACUGUAAAAAGUAGCAACCUCGGCAGUACUUUUUGCUGUCCACCAUUGCCUCCUCUCUUUUAAAAAAUUUAUCAUUACCCGUAGAGACUAAAUGUUGAGGUUCUGCUUCGCCGAAAGGCUUCGCAGAAUAAGUUAUAGUCCAAUCCACACAGUAAUGUGUGAAAAGAUGCGCAAGACAGGUUGGUCUCCUAUCUACUGCACUCGUUGAUUCUUGAGGAGAGUCGCUUCUAGUACGAGAGGACCGAAGUGAACUGACCUCUGGUGUACCUGCUCUAGUGCCAACUGGACCGCAGGGUAGCUAUGUCGGGCAUGGAUAACCACUGAAAGCAUCUAAGUGGGAAGCCAGCUCCAAGAUAAGGAAUCGUUAAGAAUCGUGAGAGAUGAUCACGUUGAUAGGCGCUAAGUGUAAGAAGAGUAAUCUUUUUAGCUGAGGCGUACUAAUAUUCGAUUCCUAUU
rnacentral:rRNA from 1 species